UGGCGAACGGGUGAGUAACACGUGGGUGAUCUGCCCUGCACUCUGGGAUAAGCCUGGGAAACUGGGUCUAAUACCGGAUAGGACCAUGCUUUAGUGUGUGUGGUGGAAAGUUUUUUCGGUGUAGGAUGAGCCCGCGGCCUAUCAGCUUGUUGGUGGGGUAAUGGCCUACCAAGGCGGCGAUGGGUAGCCGGACUGAGAGGUUGGUCGGCCACAUUGGGACUGAGAUACGGCCCAG
rnacentral:rRNA from 1 species